GCCGCUAUGGCAUACAGCGGCUGCGCCCAACGCUUCCUUUCCCCCGCACCCGUUGACCUCCUGAAUCGGUUCCCCUCGUCUCCCACGACCCCUCACCUGUAGUAGUGCGCCUUAAUGCACGCCCUAAUGGCCAUUACCACACAGGAAAUGGCUGCCGUUGAUGCCCUUAACAUUGACGAUGCCCCGCCCCGUUCCAGCUCUCCCCUAUGCUAUAAAAGGGUUCCCGAGGAACCUCUCUUCUCCUCCACAUCUCCCAGUCAACGAAACCCUCUCCAACGCCCUUCGAUUCCCGAGCAAUUGCUCGCCGGAGCCGAGCACUGCUGUCUUCUUGCGUUGAAGCUCGGGACCUCUCCACCGGAGCACCACCUCCGUGAAGAACACGACCCACCGGAGUUCCACGCAACUCCGGCGUCUUCUGUACCGCGCCCGAGGACGAGGCCGAGCCCACCUCCACGUCCCUCAAGUCCUCCUUCGCCUCCUCUCCGCCGUCCACCUUGCCUUCGUCACCGGAGACUGUCGGAAUCCCACAAACCAGAGCCGCCGAUGUUGCCUUACGUCGUCGGCCAUCUAUCCCCAUCUCGACAGAUUAAGAGACGAUAGGGUUAUGGUCUACACUCAACGAGCCCAGUGGCGUUGAUGGAGCCCUAACUUAGCGACUACGUAUAAUUCCGUUGUAUUAUGUGCUAUCUUGAGUUGUGCCUAAGGUAUGAUUUAUAUAUAUCUGGAUCUACCGUUGUAGUAGAAUGAUGUAUGUCUUACUGAUAUUCAUUCUUGUUACUGUGUGUGCUAGCUAUGAUCCAGGGAUAACACAAUAAGCACAGAUACUUGGAUUCUACCAAAUUCGGGUCGUGACA